UCACUAACUUAACAGUAUCAUACGAAAAGUACUUCUCUUCAUUCAAUUGACAGAUAAGAUGUAACUGGAAUUCAUUGUCAGCGUUAAGCUUUGAGCUUGUUUAUACAAUGCAAGCGUUGAGCGAGGAGUAGCUGUGUAGAAAGGACAGCCUGGACACAGGACACCGGACAGGUCUAAUAAAAUAUGUCAAUACCUGUAAAGACAUCAAAUGCUGCUCCAAAUUUGAUGUCAAUUAGUCUAAGUUUCGAUCCAAAGAUUAUAUUUGUUUUAAACAGAUAGGAUCAGGAUUUGGUGACUUAACUUCAAUAUGGCUUGCACAUUAUAAUGGUGUAAAGAAGAAUAUUGCGAUUAAGAAAACAAAACUUGAUGUUUCUGACACCAAGAAAAUCGACCUGAUCAGUCAUGAAGUUUAUCUUUCAAGAAUCUUAGCUCACCUAACAUUGUUGCAAUGCUAGCAGCAUUAGUUUGUGGUAAAGAAUUAUGGACUAUUAGUCCAUAUAUGGAAUAUGGUUCCUGUGACAAAAUAAUAAAAGAAGGGUUUCCGCUAGGCCUGCCUGAGGCAGCUAUUUUACUCAUAUUACGUGAAGUGCUCAAAGCUCUGGAUAACAUCCAUAGAAUGGGCUAUGUUCAUCGUGCUGUAAAAGCACAUCAUAUACUUAUUGAUGGAAAUGGUACAGUUUGUCUUACUGGUCUUCGUGAAUCUCAUUGUCUUUCACCAAAUGGUUUACAAUCAUGUGUAUGACUUUCCUGAGGAUGCUGUUGCAUCUGUACCUUGCUAGCACCUGAAGUUUUAGAGCAGAACAUUCUUGGUUAUGAUUAUCGUUCGGAUAUAUACAGUCUUGGGAUAACAGCUGUUGAAAUGGCUUGUGGUAUUGAACCUCACAAGAAUGUUCCUGCAACUCAGGUUACAAACACUUACUUACUACGUAUUUUUACCCAUAUUUUUUGCAUCUACAAUUAAGUAUUCAUUUUUCAUGGUGAUUGUCCCUUACUGGUUUUAUUUCUGCAGAGGUUUUCAUUUAACC